UAUAUUUGCGGUUCGAAAGAAAACCUUUCGUUGUACAUAACAAUCAUUUACAAUAAUAUUAGCAUG
rnacentral:ncRNA from 1 species